rnacentral:rRNA from 1 species
GAAAGGCUGACUAAUACCGGCUAUAUGCUACCCUUUGGGGGGUAUCAGGAAAGGUGGCCUCUUCUUGAAAGCUAUCGCAUUGGGAUGAGUUUGCGUACCAUUAGCUAGUUGGUGGGGUAAUGGCCCACCAAGGCGACGAUGGUUAGCGGGUCUGAGAGGAUGAUCCGUCACACUGGCACUGGAACACGGGCCAGACUCCUACGGGAGGCAGCAGUGAGGAAUAUCGCGCAAUGGGGGAAACCCUGACGCAGCGACGCCGCGUGAGUGAGGAAGGCCUUCGGGUCGUAAAGCUCUGUCAGAUGGGAAGAAGUGCAUAUUGGUUAAUACCCAUUAUGUUUGACGGUACCAUCAAAGGAAGCACCGGCUAACUCCGUGCCAGCAGCCGCGGUAAUACGGAGGGUGCAAGCGUUGUUCGGAAUCACUGGGCGUAAAGGGCGCGCAGGCGGUCUGUUAAGUCAGAUGUGAAAGCCCACGGCUUAACCGUGGAAGUGCAUUUGAAACUGGCAGACUUGAGUAUCAGAGGGGAAGGUGGAAUUCCCGGUGUAGAGGUGAAAUUCGUA